GUCUGGUCGUCCUGGAUGCAAGAAUAAGGUUAGAGAGGUUGAGUUAAUGUUUGAGGCAUCAUUCCUUACAUGCUCCAGAACACAGAUUCUUAACUUGCAAUCUGAGGACUUUUCAACUACAAGGUAUGGCCUACUACCUUCCUUUCUGUAUGAUCUGGGCAAACCGACCGCUGGUGGCAAGAGUAGUGUCAAUGAAGCGAUCCACACAGCAAGAGAGGCAGUUUCAGUGCGGGAGUCUAGCUGAUUUCCUGGAUUCUCCAUGCACUUAUAGUUCCACGAAGUGAUGCACCUGCGCAGUGAACCCUGCCUUCUGCUGCUCGACAGCCACCAGGCUUUGUAACUCAGUUUCACCAAGCUCUGCCAUUGUCAGCGUCAAGCGCUUCGCUGUGGUACGCAUGUGUGGUCCUGAAACCAACUUUUGCACUUUAUCAUCAACUCUAAGAUACUCAGGUGCUUCUAUCAAUGAUGAGACACAUCUGCAAAAACUCAUACUCCUUCCAUAGGAUCACACGAUCCUUGUCCAAGGGCGAACACACAGAACAUUGUUCAAACCAUACCAAUCCUGACCAGAGAGAACAGAGACAAACUGACUCACAGGAGAGAGGACCUAAGUACUUUAAUACAUUUUUUGAAAUUAUUAUAAAUUAUUUUACAAUAUCCAGAGCAAAUGAAACUAAUUUAAAAUAUUUUGUAAUACACAUGUCGCCAGAAAUAUUUUGUGAAGUUAAAAAUAAAAGAAAAAAAAUG
rnacentral:lncRNA from 1 species